CCUUGGUGAAUGCAGCCCAUACAAAUGCUUGUUGUAAUCCUGAAUAUGCAAUCAGGGGAAUGACCAGUAUCAUCCGAAUGUCAAGCAAAGGAGUGAUAACUNNNNNNNCAGUGAUAUCAGAGAAGAACAUAUGUUGACAGAAGAAUUUUCUAGUCCUUCCUCUCUUUUGGCAUCCCUUUUACUUAAGAAGCACAUUAGUAUGAUUCCUAAG
rnacentral:misc_RNA from 1 species